rnacentral:lncRNA from 1 species
AAAACUACAUGGUCAUCUUUCACAUUUAAAACCAUAUUCUAAAACCAUAUUUUAUUGUUAAAAUAUUUCAGAAACUACAACAUGGUCUAAACAUAGUGUUCAUAAACUUAAAAGAGACAUCCAUUCUAGAACUGAUAAUCCAUUCUACAAGCAAAUGAGUGUCAAGUAAGCAAUGAACAACACCCUAAUGACAAACAAAGGAAAUAUAGUACAUACAUAAGUUACCAGAAAUGGCUAAAGCCGUCAACUUGCUUAGAAUUCUGCAAAACCGAUAUCCCUAACAGGCGAGAAAACAAUUUCAAUAUAUGAAUGAUAAAAUGUAUCUUCACGGAUCACAACCUACCAAUAUGCUUGGCAUGUUAGAAACACUCUUUUAGCGAGACACAAAAGAAUAUAUCUAUCCUGUUGAGUUGAUCAAAGUUUGCUGCUCUACGAGUGCUAAUCUGAACUUACGCAUGGGCCUGUUUGAUGUCAUAUCAGUUAUCACCUCCGACUAUGAUGGUGACGGUCG